rnacentral:lncRNA from 8 species
ACUAAAUACAUGCAUUUAAUAAUGCAUUUGGCAAUGGUCAUGCAAUGGCCAUAGAUAAAUUGGUUGGGUUAUGCACAAAUUCAGAAACAACACGAGCACACAUACUCUAACACGCGCGCGCGCACACACACGCACGGUUGGACUUCUUAGCCUGUGACACUACCCGGAAAUAGAAUACAGACCGGAAGCUACCAUUUUAACUCGAAGAACAUUAGGAGCCGUAGGCAUAGUCCAUAGACGGGGACACCUAAAAUUGACACGGGGCGGAAAAUAUUUGACCGAAGAAAAAUUAUGAAAAUACGACAAACACUAAAGAAAGGGCUAAUUUCGGUAAAUUCGAAGAGUUAACGAUUCAAGCAUCGAAACUACCGCUUCAAACAAGGGACAUAUCUGAAUUAGCAGGCCAACCCAGCGGAAAUAGUUUUUGUUAUCGAGUCGAAAACAGCCCUCCUGGGCCGAUGGAGAGGCAGGCCUUUGAAAAUAUUUGUCCCUGGAUGAAGAAUGGCUAUCUGACAUAAAUAAGUUAUCACGGCAUUCCCCGCGCCAUUUUUAUCCUAUGUUUUUCUUUUACCUUUUUGACAGGCGAUUUUAAUGGUAUUUAUAAGGUUAGCUAGCUAAAAAAGACAGCUAUCAAGCUAUCUGUUAGCUUGGUAGCUAGGUUAGCUUAGCAUCGGCUACCUAUGCAACCAGGAUUUCAAACGACAUUUUAAUUUAUUAGCUAACAACGACAUGAUCGAAAGACUCCUUUAUUUAUAUCCAAUUUCAUUUGUAUUGUUGCUUUGGUUGACAACUUUACUCAACCACUUAUAAAAACAAGAUGAUCAAUGGAAGCAGACCCAUUCGUUUCUACCUGUAAACACGUUUUGGUCUUCAAUCAAGCAGAAAGUGCUACACCAGUUUCCAGCCCAUAUACAUCCCACCAAACCUGUUGUCUUCAAGAGUGUGGCAUCAACGGGCAGACAAAGAAGUGGAACACCUGUUCAUCCUUCAUCACCCCAGCUGGAUGCGGACAGCUUCACAUUUUUGGUGAAAAACAAAGACUACCACUAUACAAGAAGGAAUCUACAAACACUACAUAGACUGCAUACUAUUUAUACAUUGUAUUUCAAAUUAGGAACAGCAUUUAUUUAAAAGGACCUUUACCUGCUCUUCUUGGUUUAAAGUGCAAGCACUAGGCAUUCAUCUGUAUAAGAAGGGAUAAGGGAUAGAUAUUGGUAGCAGCGGGAGUCAUUCUAGAGAAAGUUGUUCAAGAAGCAUUACUUUCAAUAGCUGUGGCUAUUGAUUAUUAUUGGUGCGAUAUUGUUGUACUUCAACAGUAGGGCGAGUGACCCAGGAAAAAC